AUAUACACACUCUGCAUUAUAUACACACUGCAUUAUAUACACAGAGUGUGUGUAUAUAAUGCAGAGUGUGUGUUU